rnacentral:lncRNA from 1 species
UUGUCCAAGCUUCCGAGCUUAAUAGUAAGUGAUUCCGAGCUCCGUUUUUAAUGUUCUAUGUAUUUUUGAAAUCCCGAUAACAUUAUCUGCUCAUUUCUACCAUUAUUUUGAGCUAGGAUUUAUGUUUAAAAAUUUACCCAUGAAUUAUAUGCAUGUAUUUUGAUGUUUAAUGGUAGAAUAUGAAGUUUUAAAUUGUGUUAAACAACUUUUGCUAAGUGAUUUUACGUGAAAACAAGUAAAACGACAUAAUCGGUAAAAAUACCUAAUGUUUAUAAGUACAUGUUAGAGUGAGAAUUUGAUGUUGCCAUAGAAGAGAAAAAUUAUCAGCAUGUCAUAAAACAUAAGAAAAUAUGAAGCAGUUUAAUUUCUGAACCUUGGGGCAAAAGUGCAAAUAUGCAAAAGUUUAGGGGUCAAAAUGAAAAUUUUUAAAAAUAUGAUUUUUAGACCCAUGUGAAUAUUGUGACUAAUUAUUAGGCUAAAUGUGAUAUUAUAGAUCAAGAAAAUCGAGAUUUGGGCUUAAAUCGGAAAAAUACAAGGUUAUGACUAGAAUGGUAAAUUGCCAUUUCCGGAUCCAAGGUAAGUUUGCGUGAUUUAAUAAACCUAUUAUUCAUGAUAUUAUUGAUAUACAUGAAAUACAAUUUGUUAUAAUUGUAUUGAAUUUGAUGUUAAUAGAAAUUUGAUGGGAUAUGAUAUUUAAAAGAAAUUGGUGAUUACCGAGAAUAUGAGAUCUUGCAUAUGUUGCAAUAAAGGUUGUCCCUAAAGGAUAAUCUUUUGAUCUCAUUAUGAAAAGGAAAUGUACGCCUUGUUUGUACAAUGUGAAAAGCGGUAGCUUCGGCUACCUGAUCAGUGAAAAGUGGUAGCUUCGGCUACCUGAUCAGUGAAAAGUGGUAGCUUCGGUUACCUGAUCAGUGAAAAGUAGUAGCUUCGGCUACCUGAUUAGUGAAAAGUGGUAGCUCCAGCUACCUGAUCAGUGAAUAGUGUUAGCUUCGGCUAUCGAAUGUGAAAAGAGAUAGCUUCGGCUAUCGAAUGUGAAAAGGGAUAGCUUUGGCCAUCGAAUGUGAAAAGGUUAGGUAUACUUUGUGUAUAUCACAUGAAAAGGUUAUGUACACUUUGUGUGUACACUUGAAAAGGUUAUGUACACUUUGUGUGUACACUUGAAAAGGAAAGGUAUACUUUGUGUAUACCAUAUGAAAAGGAAAGGUAUACUUUGUGUAUACCAUAUGAAAAGGAAAGGUAUACUUUGUGUGUACCACUCAGAAAGAAACGUACACCUCGAGUGUACAAUUGGAAAAGAAAAGGUCCAUCAGAAAUUCAAUAAUUCAGCGAUAAUGACAUACAUAGUGAUAUAAAGAAAAAUGGUAUGAUAAACUCAUCUGUACUUAGUUGAUACUAAUAUGAUGCAUAUGAUUGUCCUGUUUGCAUGAGUGGUUGUGCUAAGAGAUAGCACAGGUACGUACUCGAAACUCAUGAGUACAUGUUUGACAUGUGAAAUGAAAUGGACUUGUGAAGAGAGUGCAAAUGAAUGAGUGAUAUUUAUGAGAAUAAUUUCUAUGACAAGCUUGUGAUAAUGAUCAUUAUAUUGUACCAAAAUAGAUUUGGACAGCAGCAUUGAUCCGACUUUGAAAAUCCACUAAAAGUAGUGGAAAUUGAGUUAGAAGCUUAAUAAAUUAUGAAAUUAAAUCUUAAUGAGUCUAGUUUCACAUAAAGGAAACAAUGAAAGCAAAAGAAUUCUGUAUCAUGAGAUAUUUGAAUUCUUGUGAGAUAGAGUCGGAGUGAUUCCAGACUCCCUUGUCUCAAUUUUGGAAAAUCACUAGAAAUUGUGAAGAAAUAGUUAUAAGUUAAAAUUAAUAUUAAUGAAAUAUUUAAUGAGUCUAAUUUCAGGAGAAAGAGAUGGGAACAUUAUCUGAGUCUUGUACUAUAAGAUAAUUAAAUUUUAGUAAAGAAAGGUCGAAGCUGUCAAACAGCAAAAUAGGGGAGAGUUUAAAUAAUAAACUGUACUUAUUGGCUGGACCAAAAAUUAUGAAAAUUUUAUGGUGGAAAGAUAUAUGAGUAUAGUUUCUGGAAAAAUUUACGGAUCUUAAAUUGAAUUUCCGUAGAUCCAGAUAUAAAUGAUUUAGUGACUGUGACUCAAGAAAACAGCUUAACCAAAACAUGUGUAAAUGUACAAUUGGGAUAGUUUUACUAUGGAAAGCAUGUUAGUAAAUUGCUUAUUAUUUUCAUGCGAGCUUACUAAGCGUAAAGCUUACCCCCUCCUUUCCAUUCCUUUUAGUGUUGUCAGGUUAGAUCAGGGUUGGAGAAUCGUUGGAGGCAGCAUCACAAUAUCAAGCCAACACCUUGAGAGUAUAAACAAAUAUGCUAGAAUUAUCAAGUGAGUGGCAUGUAUA